UCGCUCUCUCUCUAACUUAGUGUAGGGGAGUAGAGUGGAAGCGCGGCUGCAGAGCCCCAGCGCCGUCGUCUUCUUCUUCAUCCAGUAGGGAGGUGCUCUUGCUUGCUUGCUCUCUCGCAAGGGUUUUGUUUUCGUCACCCUGGGAUCGAGCUCUUGGCGUCUCCAUUGAUCGUCAUCGGGGAGCUCCGUCUUGCGGCGUACACUUCGGUGGUGUUGUAUUGCCGUCACCAUUCCAGGGGCUGUAAUUUGGUGGGAAACCGCACAGUGUCGCGCCUGGUGAGGUGGAUCGGGCAGGCGCGGCUGGGAUUGGGGGGUGAACUUGGUUUGUUUCGUUGCCGGGAUUGUGGUUGCACAAACGUCGGCGGAAGGUCGAGGAGAUCGCAACUAGAACGAAAAUCGAUUCAAGGAAUUGUCGAGUUCACAAUGCUAGGGCGCUAUCAACUGAGGCUCUUUUAUUGAUCUAGUUAGUGAGCGGAGAGGUAUUCUGCUCAGUCCAGGUGUUCGUAGUAUGCGCUUCCAUGAAUAUUUCUUAACUUUUGUAUGAGAAUAGUCACAUAACUCGGGAGACUGCCUGGUUCAUCUGUUUAUGCUUCUCGGCUAUUGAAUAGGUUAGUUGCCAUUUUUUGAUCUCUUCGAGUUCUUGAAGGGCAGAGAAGGAGUGAUUAGCUUGAGAGGGCUGGUCGUAUUUUGCUCCAAUGGAAGGCGCACCUGGAGGAGAUGCAGAGCUUGUGUGUAAGACGCUCCAGGUGGAGCACAAGCUUUUCUACUUCGAUUUGAAAGAGAACCCACGUGGUCGGUAUUUGAAGAUUUCUGAAAAGACUUCGGGUUCUCGAUCCACUAUAAUUGUUCCUGUUGCGGGCAUAGUCUGGUUUGUGGACCUCUUUAAUUACUAUGCUAAUGGCGAAGAGGAACUCUCAAGCAAAGAGCUUCAGCUGGACACGAAGGUUUUCUACUUCGAUGUUGGGGAAAACCAGAGGGGUCGUUUCCUGAAAGUAUCUGAAGCUUCAGUGACUCGUAAUCGCAGCACUAUCAUUGUGCCUGCUGGCAAUGCUGCUGAUGAAGGUUGGUCUUCUUUUCGCAACAUACUUGUCGAAAUACAUGAAGCCUCCCAACUGCUCCUACCACCAUCAGCUAGCUCUGGGCCCCUUCAGCAAGGAGGUAUUUUGCAGGAGCACAUGGGUGUCAUGGCUGAUAAUGUUGGUGCUGGGUACCUUCCCAGUACCUCCUCUCCACCUGCUUCAGCUAGCACUGUCCCACUUCCUGAAGUGGGCUCUCCUAAUGUGGCUUCAUCGGGAGGAGGCUUGGCUACUGCACGUGUUAUCAGAGCUGAGCAGAAGAAAUUCUUUUUUGAUCUUGGCAGCAAUGCUAGAGGCCAGUAUCUUCGGAUUUCGGAGGUCACUGGAGUAGAUCGGUCUGCUAUUAUUUUACCAGUAGCUGCGCUGGAGCAAUUUCAUGAGACCCUGGGGCAAUUUGUCGAGAUGGUGAAGAGUCAAGGCCCGAUAGGCCCAAAUGUAGUGAACGUACGCACUAUUGCACCCCCAAGGAAGAGAGCUGAGAGCUAGGGGUAGUGAGUGGAGCUUUCGAGCAGCUUUUAGUUAAGUCAGCAUUCAGUUUUCUGGGGAAUUCCGUGCUUUGCUGUGAGGAGGCCCCACACACACAUGCACUUGCAAAGCUUAAGAGUUCAAGUGUUACAGAGAUGCUGUGGCCAAUGAAUACAGCUCAAGCUCUGGGGAUCAUUUUGAUGUUCAUCUGACUCGUUUGAUCUGUAACUCUUGAGUUAAUGUAGAUUCUCACACUGCGGGGGCUCGCUAUCUACAUGUGAGUGCAGGGGCAACAUUUUGCUGAUACAGAGACAAUUAUUUGAGAUUGGUGCGGGAGCCAAAUUACCUGUGCUGGAGAACUAUUAUCCUAUCAUCGCCGAUGCACUCCUUGCUCCUGCAUACUUUCUACAGCGGGGUGUACUAUCUUUUUACCUUUGUAAGAAAUUGUACACGAGAGAUUUUCCUGGUCUUCUUCUUGCUGAAAGUUUCAGCCCAUGCUCUUCUCUGUAAGGAUGGCUAUGUCCACCUGGUCUAUGUUUACUCUUGGUAUCUGUGCAGCAAUACCUAAUUUGUCAGCUAAGACGUGUCCAAAGUUUGUUUUGUUUUGUUUUGUUUUGCGUUUACUUUUUCCAAUAAACAGGGUUGUCUUUUUGUAUCUCAAGCAAAUUGAGUGUAGCUAGGGUUUUAGCAUGUAGACAAACAUGUUUCUACAAGAGGCUGUAGUCUAUAGAGUUAUGUGAUGAGUAUGAAUUGCCACUCUGUUGUGUACCCACUGUGAAAGUGAGUCACUGUACCAAUUUCUUUAUUCAAUAUAUACCCGCCAAGGUUGAUUUGCAGUUUAGCAUA